rnacentral:hammerhead_ribozyme from 1 species
AUCCAGAUGACUGGUUCCAAAUAGGACGAAACACGCGUCCUGGAU